rnacentral:tRNA from 1 species
GCCUCAGUGGCUUAGUUGGCUGAGCAUCUGACUUCGGCUCAGGUCACAAUCUCGCAGUUUGUGGGUUUGAGCCCCACGUCGGGCU